UACGUAGGGUGCAAGCGUUAAUCGGAAUUACUGGGCGUAAAGCGCGCGUAGGUGGUUCGUUAAGUUAGGAGUGAAAGCCCCGGGCUCAACCUGGGAAUUGCUUCUAAAACUGGCGAGCUAGAGUAUGGUAGAGGGUGGUGGAAUUUCCUGUGUAGCGGUGAAAUGCGUAGAUAUAGGAAGGAACAUCAGUGGCGAAGGCGACCACCUGGACUGAUACUGACACUGAGGUGCGAAAGCGUGGGGAGCAAACAGGAUUAGAUACCCGGGUAGUCCCUGAG
rnacentral:rRNA from 1 species